rnacentral:lncRNA from 1 species
GAGAUAUUAAGCAACUUCCAGAUAAAUAACAGUCAUUUUCGGUCAUUUACCUUAUAUUGUUUCCAAAAAUAAAGAAUUUCUUUAUUUCCACCGGUUUAAACCAAUCACUUCUGGUUGACAACUUCAAGAUUAUAUCUCUUCGAACCUAGUGCAAAACACAUGAUGGCUUUAUCGUAAAUAAAUAUGAAUCUAUACAUGCUAUAGCAAAGGUAAAAAUAUAGAACAUCAAAUUUAUUAUUGAACUUUAACUUCAUCUCGCGAUCAUAAAGCGAGAACCUAUAAUUGAAUGAUUUCUAUCUAAACACAGCUUGUUUUAAGUACCAGAGGAGAGGAAACUUCCAUCAAUUGUCAACGCAUCAUUUAAACCAAAAUAUGUUUAUUACAACAUUUCACAAAUAACAGUUGGUAUGUCUUACGGUUUCUGAAAAGAAACAAUAUCAACCUAAAAUUAAGCGUUAGAACCUAAUCUCCCUAUUGAUCGUCACCUCGUUUUUUUUUGGCCUCAAUUCAAAACUCCCAAAGUAUAAAAAAAAAUGUUUGGAAACUUAAAAGAAAUAUCAAAAUGUCCCCUAUGUUAUCUUUUUUCGAAGAAUUUUAAACCUCAUGGAGUUGAUAUGGUUAAAUGAAACUGAAAAAGUACAUGUUGUUAAGAAAUUUGCUCAGAAAAAGAUUUAUUUGAGCAAAGAAAAAUUUUGAAUUCUGUGCAAACAUUUUAAUUCUCGC